rnacentral:misc_RNA from 1 species
GUUAAAGAAUUUAAGGCAGCUGCUGCAACACAAUUUGGUUCUGGGUGGGCUUGGCUUGCAUACAAAGCAAAUAGACUUGAUGUAGGAAACGCGUCAAAUCCCCAUCCUUCCGAUGAGGACAAAAAGCUUGUGAUUGUGAAAACACCUAAUGCUAUAAACCCCCUCGUUUGGGAUUACUCGCCACUCCUAACUAUAGAUGUUUGGGAGCAUGCUUACUAUCUG